rnacentral:rRNA from 1 species
UACGAAGGGGGCGAGCGUUGUUCGGAUUUACUGGGCGUAAAGGGCGCGCAGGCGGCGAUCUUUGUCAGGCGUGAAAGCCCCGGGCUCAACCUGGGAGGUGCGCUUGGGACUGGCGGGCUGGAGUUCGGGAGAGGAGCGUGGAAUUCCCAGUGUAGAGGUGAAAUUCGUAGAUAUUGGGAAGAACACCGGUGGCGAAGGCGGCGCUCUGGACCGAGACUGACGCUGAGGCGCGAAGGCGUGGGGAGCAAACAGG